rnacentral:rRNA from 2 species
UGGGGAAUAUUGCACAAUGGGCGAAAGCCUGAUGCAGCGACGCCGCGUGAGGGAUGACGGCCUUCGGGUUGUAAACCUCUUUCAGCAGGGACGAAGCGCAAGUGACGGUACCUGCAGAAGAAGCACCGGCUAACUACGUGCCAGCAGCCGCGGUAAUACGUAGGGUGCAAGCGUUGUCCGGAAUUACUGGGCGUAAAGAGUUCGUAGGCGGUUUGUCGCGUCGUUUGUGAAAACCAGCAGCUCAACUGCUGGCAUGCAGGCGAUACGGGCAGACUUGAGUACUGCAGGGGAGACUGGAAUUCCUGGUGUAGCGGUGAAAUGCGCAGAUAUCAGGAGGAACACCGGUGGCGAAGGCGGGUCUCUGGGCAGUAACUGACGCUGAGGAACGAAAGCGUGGGUAGCGAACAGG